GGCUUGUUGACUAUAAUUUCAGGUCUGACCUGCCCAAUGAUGUAUUAAAUGGCCGCGGUACAUUGACCGUGCAAAGGUAGCAUAAUCAUUAGUUUUUUAAUUGAAAGCUUGUAUGAAAGGUUUAAUGAAAAAAUUUCUGUCUCUGUAAAAAUUAAUUAGAAUUUUAUUUUUAGGUAAGAAAGCUUAAAUUUGUAUAGAAGACGAGAAGACCCUAUAGAGUUUUAUAUUUUAAAAAAUAUUAGUAUUUGAAGGAGUAUGAAAAUUUAAUUUUUGGUAAAAUAUUUUGUUGGGGUGAUAAGAAAAUUAAGUUAACUUUUUGUGUAUAGUAACAUUUAUUUAUGUGUAAAUGAUCCUAAAAUUUAGAUUAUAAGAGUAAAUUACCUUAGGGAUAACAGCGUAAUUUUUUUUAGAGUUCUUAUCGAAGAAAAAGUUUGCGACCUCGAUGUUGGAUUAAAAUUAAUUGUUGGUGAAGAAAGCUAAUAUAUUAAGGUCUGUUCGACCUUUAAAAUUUUACAUGAUCUGAGUUUAGACCGGCGUGAG
rnacentral:rRNA from 1 species